CUAACGCGUUAAGUAGACCGCCUGGGGAGUACGGCCGCAAGGUUAAAACUCAAAUGAAUUGACGGGGGCCCGCACAAGCGGUGGAGCAUGUGGUUUAAUUCGAUGCAACGCGAAGAACCUUACCUGGUCUUGACAUCCACGGAAGUUUUCAGAGAUGAGAAUGUGCCUUCGGGAACCGUGAGACAGGUGCUGCAUGGCUGUCGUCAGCUCGUGUUGUGAAAUGUUGGGUUAAGUCCCGCAACGAGCGCAACCCUUAUCCUUUGUUGCCAGCGAUUAGGUCGGGAACUCAAAGGAGACUGCCAGUGAUAAACUGGAGGAAGGUGGGGAUGACGUCAAGUCAUCAUGGCCCUUACGACCAGGGCUACACACGUGCUACAAUGGCGCAUACAAAGAGAAGCGACCUCGCGAGAGCAAGCGGACCUCAUAAAGUGCGUCGUAGUCCGGAUUGGAGUCUGCAACUCGACUCCAUGAAGUCGGAAUCGCUAGUAAUCGUGGAUCAGAAUGCCACGGUGAAUACGUUCCCGGGCCUUGUACACACCGCCCGUCACACCAUGGGAGUGGGUUGCAAAAGAAGUAGGUAGCUUAACCUUCGGGAGGGCGCUUACCACUUUGUGAUUCAUGACUGGGGUGAAGUCGUAACAAGGUAACCGUAGGGGAACCUGCGGUUGGA
rnacentral:rRNA from 1 species